rnacentral:rRNA from 1 species
UACGUAGGGGGCAAGCGUUGUCCGGAUUUAUUGGGCGUAAAGAGCGUGUAGGCGGCCAGGUAGGUCCGUUGUGAAAACUGGAGGCUUAACCUCCAGCUGUCGAUGGAAACCAUCUGGCUAGAGUCCGGAAGAGGAGAGUGGAAUUCCUGGUGUAGCGGUGAAAUGCGCAGAUAUCAGGAGGAACACCGAUGGCGAAGGCAGGUCUCUGGGCAUUAACUGACGCUGAGGAGCGAAAGCAUGGGGAGCGAACAGG